GAGAUUAGAAAUUUAAACACACCCAUGGGUUCAAAUACUAUGAAAUGUAUUGUGACACAAACGUUAGAGAUAAAUGACGCAGGGUGGUGUGGAUGGAAGACAAAUCAUUGCUCAAAGUUUGAAAAGAGUAUUCCUUAUGCAUUGUUGUCUCAAGUAGCAGGGAGGCAGUUGUUUAUUCUUGGUUCAUUGUCAAUCAGGUUUGAAGGAAUACAUUGGAGCGAAUCCAGUUCUGAAAUCUACAUACACCACUACAGUUGUCCAUUCAAAAGUUUCGGAUGAUUGCACCUCCAGUAAUGAAUAUGAGGAUGCGGAAGUUAAGGAUGAGUUCUAUGAUGCGAUU
rnacentral:misc_RNA from 1 species